rnacentral:rRNA from 1 species
CCUACGGGAGGCAGCAGUGGGGAAUAUUGCACAAUGGGGGAAACCCUGAAGCAGCGACGCCGCGUGAGGGAAGAAGUAUUUCGGUAUGUAAAGCCCUAUUAUUAGGGAAGAAAAUGACGGUAUCUGACUAAGAAGCCCCGGCUAACUACGUGCCAGCAGCCGCGGUAAUACGUAGGGGGCAAGCGUUAUCCGGAUUUACUGGGCGUAAAGGGAGCGUAGACGGGAGAGCAAGUCAGAUGUGAAAGCCUACGGCCUAACCGUAGGACUGCUUUUGAAACUGUCCGGCUAGAGUGCUGGAGAGGUAGGCGGAAUUCCUGGUGUAGCGGUAAAAUGCGUAGAUAUCAAGAGGAACACCAAUUGCGAAGGCGACUUGCUAGACAAUAACUGACGUUGAGGCUCGAAAGCGUGGGGAGCAAACAGGAUUAGAUACCCCAGUAGUC